AGGGUCUUGGCUUUUUCACCCAGGCUGGAGUGCAGUGGCACGAUCUUGGCUCACGACAGCCUCGGACUCCUGGGAUCAAGCCUUCCUCCCACCUCAGCUCCCCAAGUAGCUGGGACUACAGGCACAGGCCACAGUGCCUGGGCCUGGCAGAUAUUCGUAAACCACAAUCCUUGCAUCAGGAAUCCUACAGGCUAGUGUGAAGUGAGACAGAUAAACAGAUAAUGUUAUUUGUUUGGCAGUAACACCUAACCACAACGCUCCUGAUGUUCCAAGAGUUCUGUCCAGUUAUCAUUUCCUUUGUCUGAAGAACUUCCCUGAGCAGUUGUUGCAGAGCUGAUUGCUGAUGAAAAAUUCUCUUAGUUUUACUUCAUUUGUGAAUUCUUACUUUUACCUUCAUUCCUAAAGGUUAUUUUCACUGGACUUAGAAUUCUGAGUUGACAUUUGUUUUCUCUGAGCACUUUAGAAUGUUCUGUCUUCUGGCUUUCAUGGGUUUUGAUGCAAAGUUCACAGUCACUUGAAUCAUUGUUUCCGUAUAAGUAAUGUGUUAUUUUUUUCCGGACAUUCUCUUUUUUUUUCUUUUGCUUUUAAUUUCAGUAGUUUGGUUAUAAUGUCUAGGAAUGAAUUUCGUUGAAUUUGUCUUGCUUGGAGUUUCCGGGGCUUCCUGAAUCUGUAAGUUUAUGUUUUUCUCCAAAUUCGGAAAGUUUUCAGUUUUUAUUUCUGUAAGCAUGUUUUCUGCACUGCACUGUCUCUUCUCUUUCUCUGACUCAAAUGGCACAAUUAGACAUUUUCAUGUGGUCCCAUACAUCCCUGAGGCUGUAUUCAUUGUUUCCAGUCUUUUUUCCUCUGUGUUGUUUAAAUUGGCUAUUUUAAAAUGUCUGUCUUCAAGCUGAUUCAUUCUUUUUCUGUCAUCUCCAUUCUGCCAUAUUGAGCCCAUCCAGUGAAUGUUUAAACUUUUGGUCAUUGUGUUUUUUUAGUUGUCAGAUUUUCAUUUGGUUUUUCUUUAUAUAUUUUAUUUCUUUUCUGAGACUUCAUACCUUUCAUUUGUUUCAAGUAUGUUCCUUCUCACUUUUGGAGCACUUUUAUAUUGCUGCUUUAGUCUUUCAUAGAUAAGGUCAACAUAUGUGUCAUCUCAGUAUUGGCUAAGAUUUUCCUCAUAGGCCAAGUGUCUUGACUACUUCAAAUGUUAU
rnacentral:lncRNA from 1 species